ensembl:lncRNA
CCUGGAGUCACCGCGGUCACCGCAGUCACCGCGGCAGGUCCUUUCUGUCCUAGCUCGGAUAAGCUCUGUUGGUCGCUCGGCUCACGCUGGCUUAGCUCACUGACAAAUCAUGGCUGAAAAUCCCAAAGAAAGGAGGACGAGGAGAAGUCAAGAAUGAGCGAGCAUCAAAUAUUUUGAUUUCUCGCUUCCCUCUGUCGUUUCUUCUACCCAUCCAGCCAUUUAUUUAUUCACCAUCACUGAAUAACCCCGUCCUCUUUCCCACUCCCCGUCCUUCCUGUUUUUUGAGUGCAUUCUCUCGACAUGCCACUCCAGAGUGUAUGAUGUGUUGAUUUAUUGUCAUGUUGCGUCGGCACACCCCUGCCAAAGCUGAAAUAAAUCCCAGUGGUCUGGUGGUUAUGAGACUGUAGGUUGGGCAUUUCGUGUGUGUGUUUUGCGUCUGUGUGUGUGUGGUGAGGCCAAUGUCUUGUCACACUCAUGAUGCUUCCGCUGCAGAAAAUUGGGUCGUGUUUCAUUAAGAGAUAGAAGGUAAAGGCAAUGAAGGAAAUGAGGGAUAAAUAAAAUGGAGAAAAGAUGACUGAUGACAUUCAUGAAUUAAUAUGUAUGCAUGUACUUGUGUGGUUUUUUUUUCAUGUGUUUUUUUUAAUUACAGUGAAAACAUGUACAUACAUGUAUAAAAGGUGCCUGUGUGAAUGCAUGCACACGAGCGACACACUGGACAGGCCACAUGUAGUCCCUGCUAGCUGUGUUUCCAUGGUGACUGCAGGGGGUUGGUGCUAGCAGCAAGGUGUGGAGGAACCUUCCAGAUAACCCUGAAGGUCAGCUUACGGAGCUUCAGCUCACGGCAUUACUCUGUACUCACACACUUAACCCUUAUUCUGUGUGUGUGUGUGUGUGUUUUUGUCCAUAUGUGUGUGUGCCUGUGUGUCUGAAAGAGAGUGCCUCGGUUAAGAUGCAUUUCCACUUAUAUAUGGACAUGGUUGGCCACCCUCAGAAUGACAGUGGCACACACAAACACACAUACAUAUUGCACACAUACACACUGCCACACAGCAGACACCGAGAGAACAUUAUUGGAAUUGCAAUAUGUCCUCAUAGUUGUUCCUGGAUAAAAGUAUAUAUUCACACACAAGUGGUCGUCACUGUGAAUGAAGUAGAGUGUAUUUGUUAAUCAUAGCAGAGAGGUGUGAUCUUUCGAUCAUAGUUUGACUUCCACUUGCCGUUAUGGCAUCGAUCACCCCAUUACAUUUACAGCGUCAUUGACCAAUCCAUACGAUAUAUGCUCUAUUAUAGAAAUCUAGUAAGGUGAAAGUGAAAUACUGAGGCCAAUGAAAUGGAUUUAGCAGUGCGUGCCUGUGUGUGUCUAUCAUUUCUGUCAGUUCAGUUUUGUGUGCGAGCCGGCAAACACCUCCAACCGCAAACUCCACUUCCUCACCAGGGAUUAUGCACCUCUAACACAACAGACAUGAUGCACAUAUAAUAAAGCCAGCACCAUAUUAGGGGUUUCAGUCAGUGACUCUCAUAUCCCUCCACUCUCCCUGACAUUUCUUUACAAAUACCAGCCUCUAUUCACUCUGUUAUUGCCUUCUCCCAUUCAGCAAUUCUCUGAUUAAACAAGCUCCUGAAAAGCCCAGCCACUGCUAUCUGCCAUUUGGCUUUUAUUGGAAACCCAUCCCCUUUAAUUAAAGUGGCUGAAUUACAGAAAUAUGAUGGAUAUUUCACCAAUAUAUGGGAUAAGAGAGCACAAUGGGUGAAAAU